rnacentral:rRNA from 1 species
GACGUAGGGCGCGAGCGUUGUCCGGAUUUAUUGGGCGUAAAGAGCUCGUAGGCGGCUUGUCGCGUCGACUGUGAAAACCCGCGGCUCAACUGCGGGCUUGCAGCCGAUACGGGCAGGCUAGAGUUCGGUAGGGGAGACUGGAAUUCCUGGUGUAGCGGUGAAAUGACGCAGAUAUCAGGAGGAACACCGGUGGCGAAGGCGGGUCUCUGGGCCGAUACUGA